AUCUGGUUGCCGAAUUCCUGAGAUCCAGCAAAGAGACUAUGGGGGUGUGUAUGUGGGGGGAGGAUGGGUUGAAACUGGUUGGAUGAUGAUGAUGAUGAUUUCUCGAGAAUCACAAAGAGAAAGAAUGCAUUCAGGUUCUAGAAAACUGUCCAUAUUCUCAAUUUUGGAAUGGCCCUCUACCUCUAAAAGAAAGCUUUACCUGGAAAAUUAUCUCACUUUCAAUUUUCAUUCCUUUGAAAAAGUAAGUGGGCACCCACAAGAUACUACAAGCUAUUGGAGGCGUUCAGUAUAUCAAAUCAAAAAACUGAGCAAAGUACUGAGGAUCACAGAGGACAGAUCAGUCAACUCUGCCUGUGAUAUUCAUAAACAAAGUCUUCAUAGAAGAGGUGUGAAAGAUUGAUGCCGGCCACUUAAUUUACCUCAGAUGGUGCAAUCCAGUUUGUACCAGUGGAUGACCUCCACUUGGAAGAUACAGGAUUUUUUAGAAAAUAAUACCAACUGGAAGAGAACAGAAGGAAGG